rnacentral:rRNA from 1 species
UGCCAGCCGCCGCGGUAAUACGGAGGGGGCUAGCGUUGUUCGGAAUUACUGGGCGUAAAGCGCACGUAGGCGGAUUGAUCAGUUAGAGGUGAAAUCCCAGGGCUCAACCCUGGAACUGCCUUUAAUACUGUCAGUCUAGAGAUCAUGAGAGGUGAGUGGAAUUCCGAGUGUAGAGGUGAAAUUCGUAGAUAUUCGGAGGAACACCAGUGGCGAAGGCGGCUCACUGGCAUGAUACUGACGCUGAGGUGCGAAAGCGUGGGGAACAAACAGGAUUAGAUA